GUUUUCGUUUACCUUAUCCUUCCAAACAUAUGCUCGGGGAAGUUUACUGCGACAAAAUGGCUCAAACAACGAUUACGUCGAUCUAUAUCUUACGUCUGGGACAUUAAGCCACGCUUCAGGAAGUUAUAACGGCCAAGUAUACGUUGACGUUAUAGUCUAGAAGUGGAAUUGCCAGUUUGGAAAAUUCUGUAAACGUUGGUCAAGAAUGUACGAUACGUGAUGUGGUUUUCACAAAAUAAUGCAUGGAUCGAAAAGCUUAAUACAACAUUGUCUAUUAACCUAUGUUCGCUAGCAAGAGCUGAAUUUUUAAGCAAAA